AACGUAGGUGGCAAGCGUUAUCCGGAUUCACUGGGCGUAAAGCGCGUGCAGGUGGCUUCGUAAGUUGGACGUUAAAUCUCCCGGCCUAACCGGGAGGAGUCGUUCAAUACUGCGGGGCUGGAGGGCAGAAGAGGGGGGUGGAAUUGCUGGUGUAGUGGUGAAAUGCGUAGAUAUCAGCAGGAACACCUGUGGCGAAAGCGGCCCCCUGGUCUGCUCCUGACACUCAGACGCGAAAGCUAGGGGAGUGAACGGGAUUAGAAACCCCGGUAAUCCUAGCCGUAAACGAUGGAUGCUAGGUGUGGGUGGUAUUGACCCCAUCCGUGCCGAAGCUAACGCGUUAAGCAUCCCGCCUGGGGACUACGGCCGCAAGGUUAAA
rnacentral:rRNA from 1 species